rnacentral:lncRNA from 1 species
UUGAAAUUAGGAGGAGACAACACAAAAGAGAAAAAACCCUAAAAAUGACCUAAACUUAUCUUCUCCAAGGGGGCCGCCGCCGCCCCCAGCUCUGAUUUUGUUCUUCUCUCCCAGCUGGUUCCACCAGCUGCUCCCCCCUCCCGGUCGUUGGUCCUCCUCCCAGCCAAAAACAAACCAAACAGCCCCUUUUGAUUUUCUCUCUUCUCCCUCAACCGGACAGCCUCUCCUCUCUCCCAGCCGCUGCCGCUCACUCUACAUCACAGCCGUUUCCUUCCACUACGGCAGCAACCGAGCAACAUCCCUCACGGACCCAGAUCGGUCCGCCGCUCCUUCCUCCUCUGCUCCUCCAGCCGCUCACAGCAGACGCCCAGCCAAGACCCUCUCCUCAAACAGAUCUUCACCACAGCUUCAACAGCCCCAGCUCGCCAAGAUCAAGCCGGCCGCCCCCUCACCAGGCUCCUCUCCUCUCUCAGGCGACCCAACGGCCUCCCUCUCCGGGUCAACGAACAAACCCGGCACAGCGGCGCCCACAGAACCCAAAUCGGUCCGCCUUCUUCCUCCAGCAGCGCCUGCACACCACCGCGGCCUAACACAGUGGCCUCCCCCUCACAACGGAUCUGCCAUCUGAAGAAAGAGAGAAGCAGAUCCGAAAGAGGAAGAAACAGAUCUAAGGAGAGAAACAGACUUGCUUGUUGCGUUUUGGGUGUUUUGUAGGUAACGGCGUUGUCACCACCAGCAGAGAAGGGAAGAGGAGAUGAAACUGAGCCAGAUCCAUCCGGCUUCCAAGUUUUGUGCGGCGGCGCGUGAACCCACGCGCCGCCAGUGACGGUGGCGCGUGGGAAGACGCGCCACCACUGUUCAUGUUGUUCCAGAAGGGCUUCCCAGCACUGUUAUGGAUUUUUGAGGGGUUAUUUUGUAAUUUUUAAAUUGAUUAAUGUAAUAUUUGUUUAGUUUGAAUUUUUAUUUGUAUGUUGUGAAUUUGGAUGUAACAAAAGAAACGAAAAGAAAAGAAAAGAAACAAAAAUAUAGGAAGAGUGAAUGUGUGUGUUUGUAUUUGUUUUUAUUUUUUUAUAUAUAUUUUUUAUGAUGAAAUUGCAAAGAUUAAAGAAGAAUUUAAUAUUUUGAUUGGGUCACGGUAAAGAAUUAUUAACUUAUACAUAAGUUGUAUUUCUAAUAUCCGAUGAAAAAACAAUUAUUAAAACUUCUUUAAACACAUCAAAUUCGCGAAGCAGCUUACCUCAGGUAGGGUGCGUUAGGGGUGCUAAUACCUUCCCUAACCACAACCAGUCCCUUACCCGCGAAUCUCUGAUAAGACCAGUAUAUCCGGUUUCCUAGUAGCCUUCAAUAAAUUACUAGGUGGCGACUCCAACGAAGCAAAUAACGCAACAACAAAAAAAAUCGCCAGCCGAUGCCGCGCGGAUUUUCUGACGUGCGACAGAAUGGCGACUCCACUGGGGAAGGUAUUGUUUCUAACAAUAUUGGACUAAGCUUUGUGUAUUUGAUGUGUUUAAGUUUUUGCAUUUUUGUCUUGUUUUAUUUUUGUUUUAUCCAUGCAUUUUUAGAAUUGUUUCAUGCAUUACUUGUAUUUAUUUUUGAAAGCACACACAAGCUUUUAGGUUAGGUGGGGAAUUAGCGAUCUGCCCUAAGACUAUUGGUCAGGGUUCAGAUGCGUGAAACACCCAACUCAUAUCUGAGUGCCUGCUUGGUAAUGGUGGGUAUAUGUACCUUAACCAUUUCUUGCAACGCCCCUAUACUGUCUGUACGAAGAUCGUCACUGGGCAGAUAUGAGACCCUUUUGAGACCAGAUAGAAAACCUACCCAUGAUCACAUAAUGAAUAGAACCUGUCCUUAGGUUGUAUGUGCUAUUUUUAUUUGCAUCAGGGCAAACUCUUCUUGAAGCAUCUUGAACUCAAGACUUGUGGGUGACCCAAUGGUCGUCACUCAGAAAAUUUUCAUUGUAGAGUUUGGGCAAGAAUCAAGAUUUUUGUUUCAUCAUACAAGAGUUAUGACCAUAUGUCACCCCUCGAAGGGCGAGUUCAUCAUAUAGUUUACAUGUUCAUACAUUUAUCAUGCAUGUACCGGGUUGAAAGAUAGGUUCUCCCACACAAGCUGUGCUACGCGCGAAUGAAGAAAGAUGAUAGAAGCAAGGAAAGUUGUCGGAGAGAGGCUCAUUGUCAAAAGGAAGUUGAGAGCAUCAGAGGUGAAGUAGCUAGAAUCAGAUCUGCUUGAACAAGUGUAGAGCAUCAAAGGGAAAGGGAAUGUCUACACAGUCUUCUGUGGGAACACUGCUUGUCCAUGUCCCAUUGAAGUUACACCUCCUCUUUUCAGUCAUGAAUAAUUGCAGCAAUGCCUUCAGUCAUCAGCUAAUGACAACCUUUGUUCUUGUUCAGUUGCACUGAUAAUUAUUCAUCGCCUCCGUAUCUGCUAAUGGAACCAAAUAACUACUAGUUUCUGUGCAUGGUACAUUAGCCUUCUUUGAAGUUACCCCAACUGUGAGCUCAAUUCCAGUUCAACAGCACAAGAUGUGGAAAAAAAAAUUAAAUAAAAAAAAACUGAAAAAAAAACCAUGAUUAGACACUGAACUUCUACGUUGCAGAGCUCUCUCUGUAGAGAUUUGUUUGUGGAUCUGCCAGUGGGGCAUGCAAGAGGGGAUGCAGUACUUUGACACGCUACAAAAAUUUGUCUCAUCAAUUUCAGCACCAAAACACUGUAGUAGGCAGAAAAGCCAGACUUGAGCUAGAAAACAGGAGCAAAUAUAGAACUUCAUCGUGGCAGAGCUCUCUCUGCAGAAAUCUGUUUGUAGCUCUGCAAGUGGAGAAUCCAAGAAGGGAUGCAGUAGUUUCUGAUCAUCUAUAAUUUUCUCUCAUCAGUGUUAGCUUGAAGAUGCAAAAGUAGGGAAAAGAGACAGACCUCGGCUGAAAAAUAGAAAGAAGAUUGAAACUUCAACAGAGCAGAGCUCCCUCUACAGGUGUCUGUUUGAUGCACCGUCAGUGAGGAAUCAAAGAGGAGACAAAGGAGUUUCAGAUUCAUCAGUUUCUCCUCCAAUAAAAACAAUGCAUCAUUUCACACAUUGACAGUGAUAGCGCUGCAUGAUUCUAUGCGCUGCCAAGAUUACUUAUCUGUUGGAAGGUUUCCAACAAUCCACAAACGACCACAACAACAUGGGAAGAUUGACAUGAUGUUGUAAGGAUUGCCUAAGGAAUUGAAUAAUCAAUGAAGAGAGGAAAGAUUGAAGGAUCUACCAUGGAUUCCAGAACAAUUAUAAGUGUUGAAUCAGAAGAUGACUCUCAAUUGAGAAACCUCAGUUAUUUUGCCUAGUCAGGUAUUGCCAUAAUAUCAACUGCUCAAAUAUCUUUGCCAAGAUUGACAUCCCACUGCCACUCAAGUUUGUCUACCAGCAUCUGCCAGAUUCUAGACUUAUUGCCUCGACUCCAUUAAAUCACAUGCAACCACCGUUUUCUAGGUGGUAUAAUCCAAACAAGAGAUGUGAUGUCAUGGUGGGGUCCUCAGCCAUUUCAAUUGAACAAUUGCAAGAAUCGAGUCUGGAAGUUGGUGAGCAAAAGACGAGAGGAAUCUGUGAAGGAGCUUGUCAUCGAUCAUUUUGUCGCCAGAACAUCCUCAGAAUGACGAGUGAUCGGAAUUGCUUGGCAAAACAGAGAUAUUGCCAAAGAGGCUGAUCUAAGAAGGGGUUAAACUGUCAAUCAUUUUUGUUAUGGAUUUUGCCAUCUUGCAUUUUGUUUUGGGGUCACAUCUCAUCCUUGAACGAAACAUGUCUUUCCUUUGUCUUCCUGAUGUUUUGAAAUCAAGAGAUGCUUCUUUCAAAGGGUAUUUUUACAAAAUAUUUUGAUCAAGCUCCAACAUGCGGUUAAGAUUAAUCAAUCCUGAAGAUUAAAAGUAUUUUGAUUGCAGAAAUAACUCGAUGCUUGAAAAUGACAUGAGGUGACCAAACAAUUUUGAACUCAUACCUCCUGAAACUGAACCACACAUCAUAUAACUAAGUUUUAGCAGUAUGCAUAACAACAUGUAGUGGAUUCAGUAGUUAUGGACUCGUGAAUCAUGACUCUUACAAGUCCAAAUCAUUACACUGGAUGAGGUCAAAAUUUAUCGGUUCUAACCGACCUUGCUUGAAACGAGAAAAGGCCAUCUUUGUUAUCCUUUCACAUUUCUUGAAAUAUUAUCCCUUGCAGUCCCAUUUUGAGCCUGGUAAAAUAUUUUCUUUCAAAAGGAAACCCUGACUAGGAUCACACCCCGCACUGGGGGCAAAUGAGAGAUAAUUUUGAAGACGAUGAUAGAAUUAAUGGAUAAAAAGAAGGGUAAGAUUGGAAGCCCAACAAUGAAAAAAAAAAGGAAAAAAAGAAACCAAGGAGUGAAGGGCAUCCAAGAAAACUUUGAGAAAGGCUAUGUAAAAGCAGAAAAAGUGGAAAUGAAGGAGAAUGCCUACCAAUUCUAAGAGGGGCAAAAGAAGUUUCAAUUGAAGAAAGACACAACGAAUGCCAAAAGUCAACAACAAAAAUUCAAGUUUCAUGUCUUUUGGCGUGUCUAGGAUAAAGCCUCUAGUGUCUUCAAAAAAAAAUUUAGAUUGGUUAUUCAUUAAAUAAAAAGUUGGAUUUGCAUUAUGACCUAUGUUAAGAGAAUUCUGAUCUUUUGAGGUUAACAAGGUUAUAUGUCACUUUCUCUACAAAGACAACAAGAGAAAGAGAAUUAAUGAAUAGUUAAUGGUGAUCCUAAGUCUUCGAAACCCUCAAACACUUUUGAGCCUAUGAAUUUCCUUUCUUUCAUAAGCCAUGCACCAUAGCCUGCAUUAAGUGCUUUUUAAAAGCCCUUUUUGAUCAAGUAAGCAAUCUGAACCGAUAAAUGACGAUCUUAAAACUUGAAGAGCCUUUCCAUAAGAGUCGUGGCUUCAUGGAUUAAGCUACUUGUUAUUAUGCAUGCUAAUAAAAUUGGUGCUAAAAAAAAGAAAACAAUCUUUCCUAAUGAAUCCUCAAGUUUUGACUUGAGCCUUUUGUUUCUUGAAAUUCACAUAAGGUCACCUCAUCGCAGACCAUCAAAAGAUAUACCCAAGAUCAAAGAUUAAAACUAAUACAAAGAACCAUGAAAAAGGUCAUUUUAAUCUUACAACGGGUCAUUUCUGUUUUCAAAAUACAAGACAGUAAAAAGAUUACAUUGAAUAGUGUGUGUUGGGUCUUUGACCAAAAAGCUUGAUUUUCAAAAAGAUCUUUUCCAAAACUGAUAUCUCUUUGAUUUCAUUUCAACAAUUAGACUUGAAUUGACAUGAUCUUUGAAAUAUGAGAGUUGAUUCCAGAACAAGAAAGAUUGUUAAACAACAAGAACAUCGACCGAAUUUGCAAAUUCCUUGACAAGAAUGACAUCAACAUUUCUCGACACUCCUUGAAAAGUUGACCACCUGGGGGCAAUACAGUGGAUCCUGAAAGGGAAACAAGCAGUAUUCAGAUUAGCUAGGGGGCAAUGAAAAAUGAUCAAAUGAUGAAUCAAUGCACUGAGAACAAUGGUGUUUAAAGAAAGCUAAUCAGCAGAACAAGCAUUCAGAUAAUUACUGGGGGCAAUGUUGUUCAAAGACAGUUAGUGAUUUAGUGAACUUCAGCAGCAAUUGAUGAGCAACGCUGCACUUGAAGGGCAUUUUUAUUAUCGUCAGCUAAAACAUGGCUAUGACUCCUAACAUAUGUUAUCAGGUGAGUGCAUUUGAAUGAACAUCGAAAGAUGCACACCACUAAGACUGACUGUGGGACCAUCUAUUCUGAAUCUCAAAUGCGCACUUCACCGCAUGAAUAUGGGUGAUGAACAUCAUUGAUGAUGCCAACGCAUUUCCGUUCAUGAUCUGAUUUGACAAACUGAGAGGAAUCCAUGGAGAAGAACAUUGAGCUUACAACAAAGAACUUUUCACUGCAAGCUAUGAGAUGCAUGUCUGGACGACUGGAUGAUUUCCAUGAAGACUGGUGAUAACAUUACUUGAAGAGUAUUGUUUCAGCUUGAGGCAAGUUUAUGACUGGUUGACAAUCAUGAUGGUAUUGGCACGAUGCGCACAAUCAAUGAGAGAACAAUUCUCAGGAUAAUACAGAGGAUGAAUGAUCGGUUAAGAUCUUCAUGAUGAAUCAAGCAACACCACACUAGGGGGUAGAGUCAAGCUUAAUAAACAACGAGAGCAGUAAUCAUCAUGGACAACCCAGGAUGGGCACUGCACUUACAGCUGAGUGGAUGACUAGCACAUGAAUGAGCCAAUGCAUCGAAAGAACAAAUAAAGCUUUGGAAUGCAAACAAAGGCACCCUGUGAUGAUGGAACAUCGAAGAGGGGGGACCUAUAUUUCGAAUCAGGUAAGGAUGCAUGCAUGUCAGCUAACGUUAAAACAUUGUACAUAUUUUUUAUUUUGUUGCAGGAAAAAUCCUCAAUGUAGUUUAGCAAGAUUGGGGACCAAAAAAAAAAGAGAGAAAAAAAGGGAGAAUCAUUGAGCUGAUAAUAACAGAGAAUCAUGGUUGUGACCUUGGAACGGGAAGAAGAUGAGAUAAGCCUUACUGUUAGGAAAAUCUCAAAGAAAUGAAAAGAUCAACCUUGCAAUCAGGAAGCAUCGAGUUUUCAAACCCUGCGAUCAAGAAUUAUCAAGAAGCACCAAGUUUUCUGGCCCUUCUUCUAUCAUCCCUUCAGGACUUCGCCAGGUAAGUCCCAUUUUUCACACUUGUCACAUCACAUCUUUCAUUUGGGUAGGUCACCCAUAACAAUGAGACCAUUUCAUAUUUUUUCUAUCCUCCACCUGGGUAGGUCACCCAUAACAAUGAGACCACUUCAUAUUUGUUCUAUCUUCCAUCUGGGUAGGUCACCCAUUACAAUGAGACCACUUCAUAUUUUUUCUAUCCUCCACCUGGGUAGGUCACCCAUAACAAUGAGACCACUUCAUAUUUUUUUUAUCUUCCAUCUGGGUAGGUCACCCAUUAUAAUGAGACCGCACAUCAUAUUUUUUCCAUCUGGGUAGGUCACCCAUAACAAUGAGACCACUUCAUAUUUUUUCUAUCUUCCAUCUGGGUAGGUCACCCAUUAUAAUGAGACCGCACAUCACAUUUUUUCCAUCUGGGUAGGUCACCCAUAACAAUGAGACCACUUCAUAUUUUUUCUAUCUUCCAUCUGGGUAGGUCACCCAUUAUAAUGAGGCCACACUUCACAUUCUUUCCAUUUGGGUAGGUCACCCAUCAUAAUGAGACCGUUUUCCAUAUUCUUUCCACCUGGGUAGGUCACCCAUUACAAUGGGAUCACUUUUUGCACAUUUUUUUAGUUUUGAUUUAAUGAGGUCGCCAGAUGGGAUCUCAUGUAGCUUUGGUUAAAGGGAAUUGCCAGAUGGGAUUUCAGGUUGACCGAGCUACACACAUUUUUUUAGUUUUGAUUUAAUGAGGUCGCCAGAUGGGAUCUCAUGUAGCUUUGGUUAAAGGGAAUCGCCAGACGGGAUUUCAGGUUAACCGAGCUACCACACAUUUUUUAGUUCCAGUUGAAUGAGGUCGCCAGAUGGGAUCUCAUGUAGCUUUGGUUAAAGGGAAUCGCCAGAUGGGAUUUCAGGUUAACCGAGCUACCACACAUUUUUUAGUUCCAGUUGAAUGAGGUCGCCAGAUGGGAUCUCAUGUAGCUUUGGUUAAAGGGAAUCGCCAGAUGGGAUUUCAGGUUGACCGAGCAACACACAUUUUUUAGUUCCACUUUAAUGAGGUCGCCAGAUGGGAUCUCAUGUAGCUUUGGUUAAAGGGAAUCGCUAGAUGGGAUUUCAGGUUGACCGAGCUACACACAUUUUUUAGUUUUGGUUUAAUGAGGUCGCCAGAUGGGAUCUCAUGUAGCUUUGGUUAAAGGGAAUCGCCAGAUGGGAUUUCAGGUUGACCGAGCUACACAUUUUUUUUAAGUUCCAGUUGAAUGAGGUCGCCAGAUGGAAUCUCAUGUAGCUUUGGUUAAAGGGAAUCGCCGGACGGGAUCUCAGGUUAGCCCAACCACACAGGAUAUUGGUUCUGGUUAAAGGGGAUCGCCGGACGGGAUCUCAGGUUAGCCCUACCACACAAGAUAUUGGUUCUGGUUAAAGGGGAUUGCCAGACGGGAUCUCAGGUUAGCCCAACCACACACACGAUAUUGGUUCUGGUUAAAGGGGAUCGCCAGACGGGAUCUCAGGUUAGCCCAACCACACACAGGAUAUUGGUUUUGGGAAAGGAGAUCGCCAGAUGGGAUCUCAAGAUCAAAAAAAAAAAGAGAGAGAGAAACAUAGAAAGAAAGAAAAAAGAAAAAAAAAGAAGGAAGAGAGAACAGAAAAAAAAAAAAAAAGAGCAAGGUCUUUAGAUGAGUGGAGAUUGAGCAAGUUAGGAAGACAAAAAGGCAAAUUUUUCUUUACAAAGCUUACUAUGCAAAACAUUGAGGAGUUUUGCUUCGUAAGCAUUGUAAAGAGGGGGCAUAUGUUGAUAACCAAUUUUUGACCCAUGUUUUGAUAAAUUUUCAGAAAAAUUCAAAAAUAGCGAAAAACAUUGAAAAUCCAAAAGAUACGUUUUUAAUACAUUUGCAUAGUUUUUAUCAUUUUUAGCAUCGUCUCAAAAGAAUUUAAAUUUUCAAGGAUAUUUGGAACGCGUUCAACUUUUAACGCAUCAUUUUUAAAAUCAUUGAUUUUCCACAUUGAGUCGAUUUUGAUAUUUGCUCGCUUUCAAAAAUACAAAAAAAAUAAGAAAAAUCAAAAUUUACAAAAAAAAAGAGGAAAAGAGAAGGAAAGGAAAAGUUGAGGGACUAAUUUGAAAACCUAGCAAAACUUUUCCUAUAAAUACCAGCUCUGAUUUUGUUCUUCUCUCCCAGCUGGUUCCACCAGCUGCUCCCCCCUCCCGGUCGUUGGUCCUCCUCCCAGCCAAAAACAAACCAAACAGCCCCUUUUGAUUUUCUCUCUUCUCCCUCAACCGGACAGCCUCUCCUCUCUCCCAGCCGCUGCCGCUCACUCUACAUCACAGCCGUUUCCUUCCACUACGGCAGCAACCGAGCAACAUCCCUCACGGACCCAGAUCGGUCCGCCGCUCCUUCCUCCUCUGCUCCUCCAGCCGCUCACAGCAGACGCCCAGCCAAGACCCUCUCCUCAAACAGAUCUUCACCACAGCUUCAACAGCCCCAGCUCGCCAAGAUCAAGCCGGCCGCCCCCUCACCAGGCUCCUCUCCUCUCUCAGGCGACCCAACGGCCUCCCUCUCCGGGUCAACGAACAAACCCGGCACAGUGGCGCCCACAGAACCCAAAUCGGUCCGCCUUCUUCCUCCAGCAGCGCCUGCACACCACCGCGGCCUAACACAGUGGCCUCCCCCUCACAACGGAUCUGCCAUCUGAAGAAAGAGAGAAGCAGAUCCGAAAGAGGAAGAAACAGAUCUAAGGAGAGAAACAGACUUGCUUGUUGCGUUUUGGGUGUUUUGUAGGUAACGGCGUUGUCACCACCAGCAGAGAAGGGAAGAGGAGAUGAAACUGAGCUAGAUCCAUCCGGCUUCCAAGUUUUGUGCGGCGGCGCGUGAACCCACGCGCCGCCAGUGACGGUGGCGUGUGGGAAGACGCGCCACCACUGUUCAUGUUGUUCCAGAAGGGCUUCCCAGCACUGUUAUGGAUUUUUGAGGGGUUAUUUUGUAAUUUUUAAAUUGAUUAAUGUAAUAUUUGUUUAGUUUGAAUUUUUAUUUGCAUGUUGUGAAUUUGGAUGUAACAAAAGAAAGGAAAAGAAAAGAAAAGAAACAAAAAUAUAGGAAGAGUGAAUGUGUGUGUUUGUAUUUGUUUUUAUUUUUUUAUAUAUAUUUUUUAUGAUGAAAUUGCAAAGAUUAAAGAAGAAUUUAAUAUUUUGAUUGGAUCACGGUAAAGAAUUAUUAACUUAUACGUAAGUUGUAUUUCUAAUAUCCGAU